UUCAGCGGGAGUUUUGAUCCCGAACCCGUGCGUGGUGCGGAAAAUGCUGCAUUACCUGUUCACUCUGUGCCAAUGCACCAUUAAUACCGCGGCAGCUCUGCUGUGGAAACGGGGACGGGGAGACACUUCACUGCAGAAUACUGCACCCAACAGUCAGUAAAACGGCCCCUUUAUUGUUCCUGGCAAGUAACGGCGGAAGAGGGCCGCGCACGCGCAGGCACGCCGCCAUCUUCUCCUCCCAUCUGAGUGCAACGGUAUUUCUGAGUCUCCACCCGGGACUUGCAUGACUGACAGGAGUGAAAACAAUGAGGAAACUACUGACAUGAUAGAGGAAGCCCGGAACACCAUCAGAGAUGGAAGACAUUCAUUGCUGCCCUAUAUACCAGCGGCGUAACGGACAAGGUACAGUGUGGAACAGCUCCUUCCAGCCCAACGAGCCGCACCACCAUCAUGACCAAUUAACCUACCAACCGGUACGUCUUUGUACUGUGGGAGGAAACUGGAGCACCCAGAGGAAACCCACACGGUUCACGGAGGAGAACGUACAAACUGCUUACAGGCUGCACCACAUUUGAACUCCAAGCUCCGUCACCCCAAUCUGUAAUAGCGUUGCGCUAACCAUGUGGUUUAACAGAGGUCAAUACGUUUUUGAUUAGCAAGGGUGUCAAAGGGUAUUAGAUUAUGAGAACACUCAGCCCUCUUCUAUUGUCAUUUAGAAAUGCAUACAUGCAUUAAGAAAUGAUACAAUGUUUCUCCGGAGUGAUAUCACAGAAAACAGGACAAACCAAAGACUAAC